rnacentral:rRNA from 1 species
GACGAACGCUGGCGGCGUGCUUAACACAUGCAAGUCGAACGCUGAAGCUCAGCUUGCUGGGUGGAUGAGUGGCGAACGGGUGAGUAACACGUGAGUAACCUGCCCUCUUCUUUGGGAUAACGCCCGGAAACGGGUGCUAAUACUGGAUAUUCACUGAUUCUCGCAUGGGGGUUGGUGGAAAGGUUUUUUCUGGUGGGGGAUGGGCUCGCGGCCUAUCAGCUUGUUGGUGGGGUGAUGGCCUACCAAGGCUUUGACGGGUAGCCGGCCUGAGAGGGUGACCGGGGACAUUGGGACUGAGCUACGGCCCAGAGUCCUACGGGAGGCAGCAGUGGGGAAUAUUGCACGAUGGGCGAAAGCAUGAUGCAGCGGCGCCGCGUGAGGGAUGGAGGCCUUCGGGUUGUAAACCUCUUUCGCUCAUGGUCAAGCCGCAGCUUUGGGUUGUGGUGAGGGUAGUGGGUAAAGAAGCGCCGGCUAACUACGUG